rnacentral:rRNA from 1 species
AACGAACGCUGGCGGCAUGCCUAACACAUGCAAGUCGAACGAGACCUCCGGGUCUAGUGGCGCACGGCUGCGUAACGCGUGGGAACCUGCCCUUAGGUUCGGAAUAACUCCCCGAAAGGGGUGCUAAUACCGGAUAAUGUCUUCGGACCAAAGAUUUAUCGCCUUUGGAUGGGCCCGCGUUGGAUUAGCUAGUUGGUAGGGUAAAAGCCUACCAAGGCGACGAUCCAUAGCUGGUCUGAGAGGAGGAUCAGCCACACUGGGACUGCGACACGGCCCAGACUCCUACGGGAGGGAGCAGAGGGGAAUAUUGGACGAUGGGCGAAGGCCUGAUCCAGCAAUGCCGCGUGAGUGAUGAAGGCCUUAGGGUUGUAAAGCUCUUUUACCCGGGAUGAUAAUGACAGUACCGGGAGAAUAAGCUCCGGCUAACUCCGUG